rnacentral:rRNA from 1 species
GCGAGAGGGAGACCUGAAGCAAAGCACAAAAAUAACGUCUCAGUUCGGAUUGUAGUCUACAACUCGACUACAUGAAGCUGGAAUCGCUAGUAAUCGCAAAUCAGAAUGCUGCGGUGAAUACGUUCCCGGGUCUUGUACACACCGCCCGUCACACCAUGGGAGUCGAUAACGCCCGAAGUCAGUGACCCAACCGAGAGGAGGGAGCUGCCGAAGGCGGGAUGGAUAACUGGGGUGAAGUCGUAACAAGGUACC